rnacentral:misc_RNA from 1 species
UGCCCACUCGUCAUCGCAACGCCGACGAUGACGCAGCCGCAGCAAGCACUCGAACCCGAAAGACGUCUCGCGCCCGAUCGCCCCGCGCCCGCCCUGCACACGUGUAAACAAGUAGCCCGCGGUCUCUGCUUCGGCCGAGUUGCCAGUACGUGUCUGCCCCCCUGACCCUGCGCCGCUCGCCUCUUCAUUAUCGCCUGUGGAAUCCCGGGCUACAUAUUUCCUCUCGAGAAAGGUUGUGUGCAUCUUUCUCGUCUUUCGUUUUAAUUCUCUGGGACGGUGAUAAUGAAUGGAGGGUUUGCCAGGGACUGCGGAGGGUAAACAGCAAGAGCUCGAGGCGGCGUCACCCUCUUGCGGAACAAGCAUGGAGUGUGACAGCUCGAGUGUCGAGGCAGUUAAUUGGGGUCAAGUGCUCGAGGUCGCCACGGUAUUUCUCCACAUGAUGAUAUUGUCUAGAUGAUUUAUGGGAAGUUCCUGGUGAAGACGAACCACUUCUUUCGACAGGAGGAUGAAAUAUAUCCACUUCUCGCGCACCUUGAAAUACGUUCCCUAGAGGUUCCGAGAAGGGAGGAAAGGGAGGCCGUGGCGGACGCUGCAAGAGGAACCGGAUCAGCACAUUCCUCAUAUGUUUGUUCUUGAGAGGAAAGAAGUCAUCCCUUUUUAGACAAAUUUCAGGCAUUUUACUGCGCUUAGAAAAGAAGGAAUGCACUGCCGCGAUUUUCACGUGAGCGGGGCCAGAAAAGGGGCCGCGAACUUCGACUCUAAGGAGUUCUUCCGCGGACUUCCGUCCUUCGCCAGCACGGGAGGGCGAGAGGACGCCUCCUUACUCGAUCAGGAGAAAUGCUUCCAACGGCGGCGUCCGUUCCUCGGCUCAGAAAACCGCGCAAUCACUUCUGAAGUUGCGUAACACGGCGCGGCGUCACAAUCCCCUCGGUAUGACAAUGACGAUCACGAGGUCAAUCUGUCUCUUUUGUCAUGAAUCAGGUGUCCCUGUUUGCCAUGACUCAGAGCUCAUGCUUCCCCCUCCUGUCAUGACUCAGGUGCCUCGCCCUGUAAUGACUCACGUGUGUUAUCUCCGCCCAGCGAGUCCUUGCAGGGAAGUCGCUCUCAGUUCGGCACUCGCGGGAACUCGCGGGGAACCAGACGUCAUUCUGUUUCCCUGUAUUUACUUUCACCCCUCUGCUCUCUCUUCUCUGCUCCUCUCUCUCUCUCUCUCUCUCUCUC